rnacentral:rRNA from 1 species
UACGUAGGGUGCAAGCGUUGUCCGGAAUUAUUGGGCGUAAAGAGCUCGUAGGCGGUUUGUCGCGUCUGCUGUGAAAACCCCGAGGCUCAACCUCGGGCCUGCAGUGGGUACGGGCAGACUAGAGUGCGGUAGGGGAGAUUGGAAUUCCUGGUGUAGCGGUGGAAUGCGCAGAUAUCAGGAGGAACACCGGUGGCGAAGGCGGAUCUCUGGGCCUUACCUGACGCUCAGGCACGAAAGCUAGGGAGCAAAGCGGG